rnacentral:rRNA from 1 species
AUGAACGCUAGCUACAGGCUUAACACAUGCAAGUCGAGGGGCAGCAUUUUAGUUUGCUUGCAAACUGAAGAUGGCGACCGGCGCACGGGUGAGUAACACGUAUCCAACCUGCCGAUAACUCCGGAAUAGCCUUUCGAAAGAAAGAUUAAUACCGGAUAGCAUACGAAUAUCGCAUGAUAUUUUUAUUAAAGAAUUUCGGUUAUCGAUGGGGAUGCGUUCCAUUAGUUUGUUGGCGGGGUAACGGCCCACCAAGACUACGAUGGAUAGGGGUUCUGAGAGGAAGGUCCCCCACAUUGGAACUGAGACACGGUCCAAACUCCUACGGGAGGCAGCAGUGAGGAAUAUUGGUCAAUGGGCGAGAGCCUGAACCAGCCAAGUAGCGUGAAGGAUGAAGGCUCUAUGGGUCGUAAACUUCUUUUAUAUGGGAAUAAAGUUUUCCACGUGUGGAAUUUUGUAUGUACCAUAUGAAUAAGGAUCGGCUAACUCCGUGCCAGCAGCCGCGGUAAUACGGAGGAUCCGAGCGUUAUCCGGAUUUAUUGGGUUUAAAGGGAGCGUAGGUGGAUUGUUAAGUCAGUUGUGAAAGUUUGCGGCUCAACCGUAAAAUUGCAGUUGAAACUGGCAGUCUUGAGUACAGUAGAGGUGGGCGGAAUUCGUGGUGUAGCGGUGAAAUGCUUAGAUAUCACGAAGAACUCCGAUUGCGAAGGCAGCUCACUAGACUGUCACUGACACUGAUGCUCGAAAGUGUGGGUAUCAAACAGGAUUAGAUACCCUGGUAGUCCACACAGUAAACGAUGAAUACUCGCUGUUUGCGAUAUACAGUAAGCGGCCAAGCGAAAGCAUUAAGUAUUCCACCUGGGGAGUACGCCGGCAACGGUGAAACUCAAAGGAAUUGACGGGGGCCCGCACAAGCGGAGGAACAUGUGGUUUAAUUCGAUGAUACGCGAGGAACCUUACCCGGGCUUAAAUUGCAACAGAAUAUAUUGGAAACAGUAUAGCCGUAAGGCUGUUGUGAAGGUGCUGCAUGGUUGUCGUCAGCUCGUGCCGUGAGGUGUCGGCUUAAGUGCCAUAACGAGCGCAACCCUUAUCUUUAGUUACUAACAGGUUAUGCUGAGGACUCUAGAGAGACUGCCGUCGUAAGAUGUGAGGAAGGUGGGGAUGACGUCAAAUCAGCACGGCCCUUACGUCCGGGGCUACACACGUGUUACAAUGGGGGGUACAGAAGGCGGCUACCUGGUGACAGGAUGCUAAUCCCAAAAACCUCUCUCAGUUCGGAUCGAAGUCUGCAACCCGACUUCGUGGAGCUGGAUUCGCUAGUAAUCGCGCAUCAGCCAUGGCGCGGUGAAUACGUUCCCGGGCCUUGUACACACCGCCCGUCAAGCCAUGAAAGCCGGGGGUACCUGAAGUACGUAACCGCAAGGAGCGUCCUAGGGUAAAACUGGUAAUUGGGGCU